AGUUUGAUCCUGGCUCAGAUUGAACGCUGGCGGCAUGCCUAACACAUGCAAGUCGAACGGAAACGAUGGGAGCUUGCUCCCAGGCGUCGAGUGGCGGACGGGUGAGUAAUACUUAGGAAUCUGCCCAUUAGUGGGGGACAACUAGAAGAAAUUCUAGCUAAUACCGCAUACGCCCUACGGGGGAAAGCGGGGGAUCUUCGGACCUCGCGCUAAUGGAUGAGCCUAAGUCGGAUUAGCUUGUUGGUGAGGUAAUGGCUCACCAAGGCGACGAUCCGUAGCUGGUCUGAGAGGACGAUCAGCCACACUGGGACUGAGACACGGCCCAGACUCCUACGGGAGGCAGCAGUGGGGAAUAUUGCACAAUUGGCGCAAGCCUGAUGCAGCAAUGCCGCGGUGGUGUGAAGAAGGCCCUGCGGGGUUGUAAAGCACUUUUCAGGUGGAGAAAGAAAAAGCCCUAGGGGUUAAUA
rnacentral:rRNA from 1 species